UGUGUUCAGUCAGCGACUUCCCAGGAAGACUUGGGCCGCAUGGGAAGAAAUUUAAGUUUCCAGCCUGUGUCCCUAGGGCCGUCUGAAUGGAGCCGGUGUUUGAGCCUGUCCUGCACCUCGUGUAGUUUGUCGGAGGUGGUCCUGUCCUCCGUGGCCAGCUCCAUCCACUGUGGGUUUGAGGGAAGCCCUCCUGAUUUCGUCACCAUCAUCACACCUGCUGGAGGAUGGUCACGUGCUGGAGCACGCAGGAGUGGUGCUGUGUCUGAAUCUGGCACCGAGCGCAGGCAGGGAGAGGUUCACGUGGUGAGAUCUGCCUUGGGAACCACCCUCUCCAAAGCCGACAUCCUGUGAGAUUCACGAGCAGUGUUCUGAGCCUUCUCAGCAGUGCCUCUUCCUGCUAUGGACGCUCAAUGCCUGUCUGGUUAAUAAAGGACACGAACC
ensembl:lncRNA